CCUACGGGAGGCUGCAGUGGGGAAUUUUGCGCAAUGGGCUAACGCCUGACGCAGCAACGCCGCGUGGAGGAUGAAGGUCUUUGGAUUGUAAACUCCUGUCAGCAGGGAAAUUGUACCUGCAGAGGAAGCCCCGGCUAACUCUGUGCCAGCAGCCGCGGUAAUACAGAGGGGGCAAGCGUUAUUCGGAAUUAUUGGGCGUAAAGGGCGCGUAGGCGGCUUUGCAAGUGACGGGUGAAAUCCCUCGGCUUAACCGAGGAACUGCCUGUCAGACUGUGAGGCUUGAGACCGGGAGAGGUGAGUGGAAUUCCCAGUGUAGCGGUGAAAUGCGUAGAUAUUGGGAGGAACACCAGUGGCGAGGCGGCUCACUGGACCGGACUGACGCUGAGGCGCGAAAGCGUGGGGAGCAAACAGGAUUAGAUACCCUUGUAGUC
rnacentral:rRNA from 1 species